UGAAUACAUAGGUGUGUGAGGCGAACCAGGGGAACUGAAACAUCUAAGUACCCUGAGGAAAAGAAAUCAACCGAGAUUCCCUUAGUAGUGGCGAGCGAACGGGGACCAGCCCUUAAGUUGAUUUGAGAUUAGCGGAACGCUCUGGAAAGUGCGGCCAUAGUGGGUGAUAGCCCUGUACGCGAAAAUCUCUUGUC
rnacentral:rRNA from 16 species